rnacentral:misc_RNA from 1 species
AACGCACAUUGCACCCCCUGGUAUUCCGGGGGGUAUGCCUGUCCGAGCGUCAUUGCUGCCCUCAAGCACGGCUUGUGUGUUGGGUCGUCGUCCCCCCCGGGGGACGGGCCCGAAAGGCAGCGGCGGCACCGCGUCCGGUCCUCGAGCGUAUGGGGCUUUGUCACCCGCUCUUGUAGGCCCGGCCGGCUGCUGGCCGACGCUGAAAAGCAACCAAUCUAUUUCAUCAGGUUGACCUCGGAUCAGGUAGGGAUACCCGCUGAACUUAA